rnacentral:rRNA from 1 species
GAUGAACGCUGGCGGCGUGCCUAAUACAUGCAAGUCGAGCGAACAGACGAGGAGCUUGCUCCUCUGACGUUAGCGGCGGACGGGUGAGUAACACGUGGAUAACCUACCUAUAAGACUGGGAUAACUUCGGGAAACCGGAGCUAAUACCGGAUAAUAUAUUGAACCGCAUGGUUCAAUAGUGAAAGACGGUUUUGCUGUCACUUAUAGAUGGAUCCGCGCCGCAUUAGCUAGUUGGUAAGGUAACGGCCUACCAAGGCAACGAUGCGUAGCCGACCUGAGAGGGUGAUCGGCCACACUGGAACUGAGACACGGUCCAGACUCCUACGGGAGGCAGCAGUAGGGAAUAUUCGGCAAUGGGCGAAAGCCUGACGGAGCAACGCCGCGUGAGUGAUGAAGGUCUUCGGAUCGUAAAACUCUGUUAUUAGGGAAGAACAAAUGUGUAAGUAACUAUGCACGUCUUGACGGUACCUAAUCAGAAAGCAACGGCUAACUACGUG